rnacentral:lncRNA from 1 species
CUUCACUUGGUGGAAUCUUACUUGAAGAGUGAUGGUACAGUAUCACCUUGUGGAAGCUUUCCUCUCUUAGCGGUUGUGCAUUGUGUUUGUGGCACCCUCCAUGGAUCAUCUUUUGUGAGCUAUGCCUUCCUUGUGUAAAUUGUUAAACUUCAUGUGUGUCUCUCUUUGUCUCCAAUGUGAGUUUAUCUCAGGACUUCCCAGGUCGAUAUUGAA